CUCUCUUCCCCCCUCUAGUCGUACGUUCCUUCACAUCCUCCCCCUCAUCCUAUCGUACAUUCUUUCAUCUCCAACCUACUCUCUCAAAAAAACCCCCGGUCGCGCCCCCCCUCCCCCCAUCUCCCUUUCUUUCUCCUCCCAUCCCAUAUCCGCUUUCUAUCCUCCCCAUUUUUUAUAGGUUUCAAAUUAUUAUUAAUAGUCUCUAAAUACUAAUUUUUAUAAUUUUGAU
rnacentral:lncRNA from 1 species